AUACAUGCAAGUCGUACGCUUCUUUUUCCACCGGAGCUUGCUCCACCGGAAAAAGAAGAGUGGCGAACGGGUGAGUAACACGUGGGUAACCUGCCCAUCAGAAGGGGAUAACACUUGGAAACAGGUGCUAAUACCGUAUAACAAUCGAAACCGCAUGGUUUUGAUUUGAAAGGCGCUUUCGGGUGUCGCUGAUGGAUGGACCCGCGGUGCAUUAGCUAGUUGGUGAGGUAACGGCUCACCAAGGCCACGAUGCAUAGCCGACCUGAGAGGGUGAUCGGCCACAUUGGGACUGAGACACGGCCCAAACUCCUACGGGAGGCAGCAGUAGGGAAUCUUCGGCAAUGGACGAAAGUCUGACCGAGCAACGCCGCGUGAGUGAAGAAGGUUUUCGGAUCGUAAAACUCUGUUGUUAGAGAAGAACAAGGAUGAGAGUAACUGUUCAUCCCUUGACGGUAUCUAACCAGAAAGCCACGGCUAACUACGUGCCAGCAGCCGCGGUAAUACGUAGGUGGCAAGCGUUGUCCGGAUUUAUUGGGCGUAAAGCGAGCGCAGGCGGUUUCUUAAGUCUGAUGUGAAAGCCCCCGGCUCAACCGGGGAGGGUCAUUGGAAACUGGGAGACUUGAGUGCAGAAGAGGAGAGUGGAAUUCCAUGUGUAGCGGUGAAAUGCGUAGAUAUAUGGAGGAACACCAGUGGCGAAGGCGGCUCUCUGGUCUGUAACUGACGCUGAGGCUCGAAAGCGUGGGGAGCAAACAGGAUUAGAUACCCUGGUAGUCCACGCCGUAAACGAUGAGUGCUAAGUGUUGGAGGGUUUCCGCCCUUCAGUGCUGCAGCUAACGCAUUAAGCACUCCGCCUGGGGAGUACGACCGCAAGGUUGAAACUCAAAGGAAUUGACGGGGGCCCGCACAAGCGGUGGAGCAUGUGGUUUAAUUCGAAGCAACGCGAAGAACCUUACCAGGUCUUGACAUCCUUUGACCACUCUAGAGAUAGAGCUUCCCCUUCGGGGGCAAAGUGACAGGUGGUGCAUGGUUGUCGUCAGCUCGUGUCGUGAGAUGUUGGGUUAAGUCCCGCAACGAGCGCAACCCUUAUUGUUAGUUGCCAUCAUUUAGUUGGGCACUCUAGCAAGACUGCCGGUGACAAACCGGAGGAAGGUGGGGAUGACGUCAAAUCAUCAUGCCCCUUAUGACCUGGGCUACACACGUGCUACAAUGGGAAGUACAACGAGUCGCGAAGUCGCGAGGCUAAGCUAAUCUCUUAAAGCUUCUCUCAGUUCGGAUUGUAGGCUGCAACUCGCCUACAUGAAGCCGGAAUCGCUAGUAAUCGCGGAUCAGCACGCCGCGGUGAAUACGUUCCCGGGCCUUGUACACACCGCCCGUCACACCACGAGAGUUUGUAACACCCGAAGUCGGUGAGGUAACCUUUUGGAGCCAGCCGCCUAAGG
rnacentral:rRNA from 1 species